GAAGAGUUCAAGGAAGGUCUAAGGGCGGACAGUGUGAAGGAAGCAGAGGUUUUUGUGACCAGGACCCAUGAUAGUAAGGAUGGACCGAGAAGAAAGUUCCCAGAGCGCUGUCCUUAUGCCUGAUGCCACCUGUAUGUCAGCCCAGCGGCAGCUACAGGAACUGACACCAUCAUGGCUUUAUUGACAGGAGUGCUGGACCUGGACCCCUAUCCUCUUCUGCUUCCUCCUGACUGGGAUGGCUCAUCUGCUGCUACAAGCCCACUGAACUGAGUUCUCAAGCCUCUGUCCUGGGCUUUGAAACAGGUGGGCCGUGACAGCCAGCUC